rnacentral:rRNA from 1 species
AGCAGCCGCGGUAAUUCCAGCUCCAAUAGCGUAUAUUAAAGUUGUUGCAGUUAAAAAGCUCGUAGUUGAAUUUCGGGGUUAGUAGGUUGGUCAUGCCUCUGGUAUGCACUGGCCUCACUGAUUCCUCCUUCCUGAUGAGCCGUAAUGCCAUUAAUUUGGUGUUGCGGGGAAUUUGGACUGUUACUUUGAAAAAAUUAGAGUGUUUAAAGCAAGCUAACGCUUGAAUACAUUAGCAUGGAAUAAUGAAAUAGGACGUUCGAUCCUAUUUUGUUGGUUUCUAGGAUUGACGUAAUGAUUAAUAGGGAUAGUUGGGGGCAUUAGUAUUCAAUUGUCAGAGGUGAAAUUCUUGGAUUUAUUGAAGACUAACUACUGCGAAAGCAUUUGCCAAGGAUGUUUUCAUUAAUCAAGAACGAAAGUUAGGGGAUCGAAGACGAUCAGAUACCGUCGUAGUCUUAACCAUAAACUAUGCCGACUAGGGGUCGGAUGAUGUUAAUUUUUAAUGACUCAUUCGACGCCUUAC